UACAGAGGUCUCAAGCGUUGUUCGGAUUCAUUGGGCGUAAAGGGUGCGUUGGCGGCGCGGUAAGUCGGGUGUGAAAUCUCGGAGCUUAACUCCGAAACUGCAUUCGAUACUGCCGUGCUUGAGGACUGGAGAGGAGACUGGAAUUUACGGUGUAGCGGUGAAAUGCGUAGAUAUCGUAAGGAAGACCAGUGGCGAAGGCGGGUCUCUGGACAGUUCCUGACGCUGAGGCACGAAGGUCAGGGGAGCAAACGGG
rnacentral:rRNA from 1 species